GAGCUUGCUCCCGGAUGUUAGCGGCGGACGGGUGAGUAACACGUGGGUAACCUGCCUGUAAGACUGGGAUAACUCCGGGAAACCGGAGCUAAUACCGGAUAGUUCCUUGAACCGCAUGGUUCAAGGAUGAAAGACGGUUUCGGCUGUCACUUACAGAUGGACCCGCGGCGCAUUAGCUAGUUGGUGAGGUAACGGCUCACCAAGGCGACGAUGCGUAGCCGACCUGAGAGGGUGAUCGGCCACACUGGGACUGAGACACGGCCCAGACUCCUACGGGAGGCAGCAGUAGGGAAUCUUCCGCAAUGGACGAAAGUCUGACGGAGCAACGCCGCGUGAGUGAUGAAGGUUUUCGGAUCGUAAAGCUCUGUUGUUAGGGAAGAACAAGUGCAAGAGUAACUGCUUGCACCUUGACGGUACCUAACCAGAAAGCCACGGCUAACUACGUGCCAGCAGCCGCGGUAAUACGUAGGUGGCAAGCGUUGUCCGGAAUUAUUGGGCGUAAAGGGCUCGCAGGCGGUUUCUUAAGUCUGAUGUGAAAGCCCCCGGCUCAACCGGGGAGGGUCAUUGGAAACUGGGAAACUUGAGUGCAGAAGAGGAGAGUGGAAUUCCACGUGUAGCGGUGAAAUGCGUAGAGAUGUGGAGGAACACCAGUGGCGAAGGCGACUCUCUGGUCUGUAACUGACGCUGAGGAGCGAAAGCGUGGGGAGCGAACAGGAUUAGAUACCCUGGUAGUCCACGCCGUAAACGAUGAGUGCUAAGUGUU
rnacentral:rRNA from 1 species